UGGGGUUUGGUUUUUCUUUUGAACCAGUUAUCGUUACAUUCCUCGACAAUGAUUGAUGAUUAAACGCAAACAGUUAUAUUGAUACAUCGGAGUUGCAGGGUUCGUAUAGAGCCGUUAGUGUUACCGUAGCAAUUCCUAUUGCAAACAUGAGAUGGCUCUUCAUUACAAUUAAAUUAACGGACUAAUGGUACUGUAGAACGCUUUCAGACUGCUCCCGGGUAAUUUCUGGGUAUUUCGUCCAUGAUAGUAUCGAGGAAUCCAUCAUGCCUGCAAAUAACAUUCACUCACAGCUGGGCGAUGACACCCUGUCAAUCAGGGAUCACCUGUGAAAUGUAAGCAGAGAAGAAGAGUGUUAGAAAUAGAGACCGUCCAUCAGUGAACUUGGCAUUAGGUCCUUUAUCUCCAUUUCCCUGCGGGGUGCCUCCUCCAUUUACACUUUAAUCAAGCCACUUUAUGAGUGACUAAAACCCGAUCCAGAUGAAUGAACUCAAUACUCUCUCAUUAAUAGGAAACUUUUAUACUGCUAAAUAUAGUUUAGCCUACUAUCAUUCAACUGGAAGUGGAAAUAGCGCCAGAGUACGCUUGACCGACAUGCCCAUAUAUGGGCCGGGUAUGUAAACACCUAAUAUAAUUGCCGAGUAUGUGGCGCUGGCUGGGCCAGACCAUUAAUGACUUGUCACGGGUGUCGUGUUUAUACAAAGUCGUGCAAGCGGCUUAGCUGUUUGAAAGAUCUACAGCUUAAGUCUUUGCAACGGUUGUUUGUUUAACUCUUACACUUUAACGUAUUUUUCUUUAUCAGAUCAAUGCUCCAUUAUGUGGUACAUGUCUCCAUCUUUUUGCAUUUGUUCUCAGUUUACUUUUCGCAAUGGUUUUGUCUGUUUCGUAUUUUAGGCGUCAGCUCCAUCUAGUGAUCAGGUUUUGAAUCUCAACA
ensembl:lncRNA